AUUUCUUUUGGUUGAAUUCUGAAGGCUUUGAUCCAUUGACACACCACAUCUGCCUGGCCAGAGCGAGACAUGGAGGCCAAAGGGAGCUCCUGCUUGGAAAUGGAGAGUGGGAAAGGGGUGUCAAGUAAGAGGAACACCCUUGGAAAGCCAAGUGAGCACAAGCGAAAACCAACAACAAGCCCAUAGGACCUCUGCAAGCAUUGGAAUGACCUCAGGGGACAACAGAGCUUGCCAGACAGAGGAAGGAAUAGAUAUUGGCAUCCAUUUACGGGUGUGGGUUCUCGCUGUGUCCACCAAGAGCCUCAGUAGAGUCCUUGCACUGCUCAGCAGGGUCACAACUCUCCAG
ensembl:lncRNA